AUUCUCUCCUCUGUGUGUGCAGGGAAGUCCAAGAGUUCGUGAAGGUCUGUAACUACCGGAAGGUCCGCUCGCCAUUGGAGUGUAGACCCGCACAGCGCAUGGGAAAACCGGCAGGACUACCAAAGCUGAUCAUCGGACCUGCGCCCUGGGACCCGUUUCUCUCCAGCAGAAUGUGCACAUCAGCCCUGUUCAUAAUGGCCUCAAAACGGCCUCCAUCUACGGCAGGCUGGAUGAUACAUUGUGUGUGUUCACAACACAGAAAUCACCACAGACAACAAGGAGAAUGGAUGACCCCCAGCUCCUCACAACAUGAAUGAAUCCCACAAGAUGAGAAAACCAAGGCUCUGGAAGGACAAGUGACUUGCCCAAGGUGACCGACAGGAAGUUGCAGAGCAGAAACCUGACCACAGGGUUCCUGAUUCUGGAAUUAGCAAUCAGGUUACCAUCAGUCACCUCCUCCAGAGGGAGGGAUUUCUGUUGCUCCCAAGUGUAAAAUGAGGGUUCUGAUGUUUGACACAUGGAUAGAUUCAUGUAACCACCACCAUCACCAUCAGGACCCAGAACAGCUCUGCCAUCCCAAAAAUCUCCCUUGCGUUCUUUAUAGUUACACAAUCCGCCCAUCCCUAAACCUGGCGAUCCCUGAUCUGUCCUCCACCACUGUGUUUUUGAUAGGUAUGGUAUUAAAUCCACAGACCAAUGUGGGAGGGUUUACGUCU